AUGAGAGAGCGCUCGAGUCCCGUCACCGCCUCAUCACUUCCCAGCCCCCACCCCUUCGUGGCGACAAGAUUGGAAAGAUCUUUUAAGCUGCGGUUGUUUCUGCGACGAUCUCUGCCUUUCUGAUUUUAUUGCAGGAGAAUGAUUGGCGAAGAUAAGAGCUUUCUGAUUUUAUUGCAAGAGAAUGAUUCAUUGGCAGACAGAAGAGAGGCUCCAGAUCUGAUAAGGAAGGCUUUGCUGCAGAUUUUGAUUGGGAGGAGAGGGAUGCGGAAGAGAAGAUGUGAUUUUAUGUGAGGAGGAGGCGGAGGAGAAUGGGUGGUUGACAGAAGAGAGCGAGCACACGGCGGGGGGAAAUGGUAUGGUAUGAUGCUGUUUCCGUUGCGUGCUCACUUCUCUUCCUGUCAACCCUUGCUAUCAUCGUCGCAUGCUCUCGCUCUCUCUCUCUCUCUUCUCUCUCUCCCAGCAAGGAAAAGGGGAAAAGAUGUAAAGAUGAUAUCUUUAUCUCGGGAAAUGGCUACGCGUGUGGCGAUCGCUGCGUUCUCGAUUCAUCAAAAUGGUUGUUUAUUAUUAUUCAUUAACAUUGCCCUUGCUGCAGCCGGUCGUCUCCCUUUAAUUUCUUGUCUUUGAUAUAUGCGUCAGUCGUCGCGAGAGGAACACCGCGACGGAUGAUUUCCGAGGACGAUGGUGAUGUAAUCGCUUGUACAUACGGCUCUCCGAAUGAUCCUUAUCCUUUCUUUCUUUUGUGAGAGGGUAGGGAAAAUUAUGGGGAGAAGCAGAAACUGAAGCCGUGGAACCCUGAGAAAAACGUGGCUUUUGAGGAGCAGAAGGGGGCGACCGUCCACCUCUCUUCGGGAAUCGGAUCGGGUCGGAUGAAGGUGGGUAGGGUUGCGUACAUGCAUCUCCCGUGCACACUGUGCGGAUCUACGGAAACCACUGUUCGGAUGUUCUUUUUUCCUUUUUCUUUAUGUCAUCCUUUGUGCUACGACUCUCUGGAAGCAUCUUCGUCUCUCUUGUUUGCUUUCUAUUCUCUUUGGCUAGGGGUUGUUCUGGGCGUUUCGAUGGUGGCUGAUUGAGGUACCAGAUCCGGAUUUGUUUCUCCCCAACAUUGUGUGUUCGUAGAACCAAGAUGGAAUUUUGGCGAAGAUCCUGAUUCGUAAGCACCGUGUUCUUGAUAUUCUUGUUUUUUAUUCUCUAUAUACCGCUUUAAUCUUUGUUCUCAAGGUCUCGUUUUUGGGCUUGUUUUAGACGCCAGGGCUUCUUGUUGGGUUCCUUUAGGGUCCAAAAGAAGAUUGUUCCUCGAAUCUUUAGCUGUCUCUUGUACUGGGAUUGUUCCUCUUUAUUAUUUUCUUUGUUCUCGGCGUUUAGAUGGACUGGCCGUGGAGGAUGGAGGAAGCAAUAGGGUGAAAGUAGCGACAUCUCGUCUUUUUUAGUUUGAGGUUUCCAUAUUUGUGGUGAUAUAGUGGUCGCAGUACCUCAUUCCAUGUUGGUUGCCUCCUUGCUUUUCUUCGUUUGGUUUAAGUUUCAAUAGCUUUUGACCGCAGAAGUUAAAUGAGUUGUGCAUAUCUUGAUUUGUGACAUCGCUUUAGCUGCAUGAAUGCCUUUUUUUGUGCUUCUUGCUCGACAGUAGCUUUUGUGUAAAGGACUGUCACAGAUGAGCUUCUUUAUGCCGCGAGGGCUUUCGAGGAAGACACUUCCUUUUAGUUUGUGGUCCAUGUUGUGGUCCGGUCCUUCAUUUUAUUCGUUCUUCUGUUUCGAGGUGAAGAAAUGAAUCAGUGGUUCUCUAGCACGUGUCAUUUUAUCGAGGAACUUCUUCAUGCUUCGGAGGUCACAUAUUGAUAAUAGAUGUCUUUUAUAAGGGUUUGGUGAAUUGUGGAUAUGAUGUGAAGGCUAUAAGUGGAUGGUGCCAGUUAAAGUCAAGUGUUACGCAGGUGAACUGUCAAGUUGAGGUCUCGCGAAGAUCACAAAGUGUUGUAUAUUUCUUCAACUUAUGGUGUACUUGGGUUACUCUCUUGAGACUCUUAAAAGAACUUUUGAAUUGGUAGCUGUUGGAACCUUCAUAUCGUCUCUACUGAAGCCUGAUAAUAUUUCACAGCCAUAAUAAAUCAUGUUCUAAAGGAUCGGUAAUCUCAAUCUAGAUGGAUCAGUUUCCUCAGCUCCAAGAGACAAUAUCAUGUAUUGUCAAGGUAUGAGACUUGCUAAUAUGUAUAAAGGCUGACAUAUUCUGAGUCCCAGCCAUAUGUAGGCAUAUCAAACAUGGGUUAACGUUGUGGGUGCUGUUAUCAUUUUGCCAAAGUAUCGGGAAAUAGCGAGGAAGAUGAUUCAGAGUAUCUGUUGUGCCCUUAAAAGUACAUUUAUCUCACCAGAGUCUCGGUCACCUGGAAUGUUGGAAGUGCAACCUGCACCCCUUAGCAGAUAAAGUACAAUUUUUCAUACAUCAAAACCAACACACGAGUACUUGAGAUGGGAUAUUCUUUGAUGUAUAGAGAAGAUGGAAAAGCCAAGAGAAGAUAUUCUUAAUUACUUCUUAUGGAGCAGCUUCAGAGGAUUCAUAAGUGAACAAACGAAAGCAGGCAUAAAGAAAAAAAGAGGGAUACAUGGAUCAGGGAGUUUGGUGGUGCUCUUGUAAGCAUGCAUCUCUGCUAUUGUGGAAGAGGAGGACAGUUGGGCUGAGGAAACAGACGAGAGGGGUAAGGAAUACUACAGUUGUGGCUGGUCAUACAAGAACACCAAGUGCAUGUGCUGCCUUUUAUCACUUUGGAUGAUCAUGCUAUUAUUGUACUUUGUGUUUGAGAUUUUUUUCGAGGGUUCCUAGUUUGUCAGUUUCAUCAAUAAUCUCGGUUGAACUUCCCAUCUUUUGUGGUCAUGUGAUUGGUAUUGCUAUCAAAAUUAUAUAUUGGUAGUCAAUCAUUUUUUUUUA